UUCACGGUCAAAAUUUAGAAGUUUAACUCUCGAAAUCUGAACGGUGCCACAUAAGUUAGGGACGCAUGGAGUAUAUACAUUGUUCCGGGUACAUGGACGGAAUAUGAAUAUUUAAUUAUAUUCCAAAUGGGAGAUGGAAUUACAAAACCAAAAAAGAAAGGCAAAAAGGGACGAAAUAACCCAAGUCCUUCAUGGCAAAAUAUUUACUGAGACGGGGAAUAAAUUGAGUGAGAAGAGAUCCGUUGUCACCGGUUAAGAUGAUGUCAUCAACAUAAAGGCAAAAGGAUGAUACAGCCAGUAGAGGAAUGGUGAAAAAAGAUAGAUGGAGGUAUCUGCAACACUCUGACGAAAGCCACUUUGGAGAAGAUAGGUACUGAACCGUUGAAAGCAUGCCAAUUGUGCUUGAUGAAGACCAACAAUGGCCUUAUGAAAGCGACAAAGAUGAGUAUGCUUAGAAGGAUCAACAAAUCCAGGAGGUUGUUGCAUGUAUACCUCUUAAAGUCAAAGACCAUGGAGGAAGGCAUUUUUCACGUCAAGUUGGCGAACGGGCCAAUUUCGUGAGAUGGCAACAACUAGAACUGAAUUUAGUAGUCCAGAAUGGUAAAGAAAACCAUAAUGGACUAAAUUGAUGAGAGGCAUCCUUUCUUUAAGCGGUCCAUAUCUUGGCCACCACAUCAUUUUGAACUAUUCAAGGACUGGUCCAAUAUUGAAGCAUGUAUCGAAUAUGUAUGAUUGUAGUCUUAAUUUGAAUACCGCUCUGUGGGGAUCUCGAAGAAUGCAUUUUUGUAGUCCAAGUAAAAGAUAGGCAUACAUCAAGAUCUAUGGGUUCGGCCACGCAAGAAAUGCGUCCGGGUUCAUUUUUGAAAGAUGGUCCCCAAUCUUUCCAUGGUAUAACCAUUCUGAUAAAAGAUGCGUCAUAGAGCAGCUAAAGACCAAAUUGAACUUAAAUACAUAAUGCUAUUUCCUAAUCACUCAAAAUGAUAAGUUUUUCCAAUUAAGUGGGGUCCAAACAAAUCAGUAGCCAUUAGACAUAAAAUACCUUUCCUCUGUAGUUGGGUCUUUACAGUUGCAAAGAAACCAAACAAAUAGCUAAGUUUAGUUCUUCAAGAGCUCUCGGCCAAGACCCCUUCCAACGCCAUCCAAGAUUGACAUUGUUGGGCAUCAUUGGACAACCGGCGCGAUAUUUAGCUUAUUUAAAGAGAUUUCGAGGUUGAGCGGUUGGUCAGGCGCAGGACGGUCAGUGUACGAGCUAGGAUUCCUGUAGCUUUAUGCUUUUAGAGCCCGCCUUUGACUUCGUUAGAAUACUCUAUUCAAUUACUUCCUCUUGUAUGCGGGCUAGACCCGUUAUUUUAUCCCUUUAUUCAUAGCGUCCUAGAGGGUUCACAGAUGAACUACGUAAUAUUUUGGGUUAUAGACUCUAAUUGAAAUGGUAUUUAGUUCACUUUA